GCCAACGGCCAUACCAUGUUGAAUACACCGGUUCUCAUCCGAUCACCGAAGUUAAGCAACAUCGGGCUCAGUUAGUACUUGGAUGGGUGACCGCCUGGGAACACCGGGUGCUGUUGGCU
rnacentral:rRNA from 1 species